GCUCCGCUCCCUCUCGCGCGCCGCUCGGCUCCUUCACAGGGUGACACGUCUGCGAUUUUUGGACAAGUGGGGAAAGACAUAAAAAUCAACAAUAAAAAUAAAAAGGAAAAAAAAAAAAAAAGCUUUGGAAGAAGAUUGUACCAGGAAAACCUCACAGAAAUCUGCUCAGCUCAUUUAUCCGAGGCACCAAUAUGAUGAUGAUGAAAGAAGAUUGUAACUAAAGAAGAGAGUGAUUUACUGCCCUGGGAAGGAGAAGAGAGUGGAAUAAACAGCUGAGAUCCGGUCAAAACACAAAUACUACAUUUUUUUUGUUAUUGUUUUGUUUGGCUUUUUUUUUUUGCUUUUUUUUCCCCUUUUUUCGUGGUGUGUGUGCAGAGCGCGGUCAGGAGCGCGGCACUGGGACUGAGCGGGGCAGGCGCUGCCGUGACCGCCCGGAGCGCGGCCCGGCCCGGAGCCAUGGACGAUCAGUCCAGGAUGCUGCAGACUCUGGCCGGUGUGAACCUGGCCGGGCACUCGGUGCAGGGGGGCAUGGCCCUGCCGCCUCCCCACGGACACGAAGGGGCUGACGGCGACGGCAGGAAGCAGGACAUCGGCGACAUCCUCCAUCAGAUCAUGACCAUCACUGACCAAAGCCUGGAUGAGGCACAAGCAAAGUUGGUUUCGUCUAAUUAAACCUUGUCUUUUUAAAAAAAUUAUUAUUAAUAUUAUUAUUUUUUAAAUUAUU